rnacentral:lncRNA from 1 species
GAGGGAGGCAUUGAGUCAGAGGGCAGAGAGGGGCCAAGGAGACCCAGGCGGGAGGCGCGGAAGCAUACAGUCUGCGGGCACAAGGACUGAACGGGGUAGUGGGAGCCAGUCCCUGGUUCCCUUCACGCCCCCACCCCCAGCCUCAGCUCUGUCUGGGUGGAACGAAUGUCUGCUAAUGAACUAAACAAACAGGUCUCUUAAUCUUAUCAUGGAGCUGACCCAGAGACUGGCACAGAUAUCCAAAGUAUCAUAAUUGGCAGUCAGAAUUAAAACUACAUACAUCAUGGUGACUUUAUAGCUGAGGCAAAGUGGAGCUCAAGUGUUACUUUCCCAGUAAGCAAAUCAUAUGAAGUAUCAUGCUGGUGACUAAUUUAACUAACAUUGUCCAGGAAAUUGCUGUUGUCCAGGAAGAGAAGAGUUGAGCUGAGUGUCAACUACUGGGCUUCUGGCACCAUCCUGCACAAGAAAUUGAUAAGUUCUACUGUGUUAUUUCCUAGCUUGGUGGUCUCAGUUGCAUCCCAGCUAACUUAUAGCCUAAAUUGACAGGCCCACCUCCAAUUUAUUAAUUCCUUGGUCUUAACUUCAAAAUAUAUCAUCUCAUGUUUACUCAAUUAUUUAUUGAACAAUCACUAUGUGUCAGUGUUGGAAUAUAUGAAGGAAAAAUCAAACAAAAAUUUUUUACCUUGUAGAGCUUACAUUCUGGAGGAGAA